rnacentral:rRNA from 1 species
CGUGCCUAAUACAUGCAAGUCGAGCGAGCGGAACUAACAGAUUUACUUCGGUAAUGACGUUAGGAAAGCGAGCGGCGGAUGGGUGAGUAACACGUGGGGAACCUGCCCCAUAGUCUGGGAUACCACUUGGAAACAGGUGCUAAUACCGGAUAAGAAAGCAGAUCGCAUGAUCAGCUUUUAAAAGGCGGCGUAAGCUGUCGCUAUGGGAUGGCCCCGCGGUGCAUUAGCUAGUUGGUAAGGUAAAGGCUUACCAAGGCGAUGAUGCAUAGCCGAGUUGAGAGACUGAUCGGCCACAUUGGGACUGAGACACGGCCCAAACUCCUACGGGAGGCAGCAGUAGGGAAUCUUCCACAAUGGACGCAAGUCUGAUGGAGCAACGCCGCGUGAGUGAAGAAGGUUUUCGGAUCGUAAAGCUCUGUUGUUGGUGAAGAAGGAUAGAGGUAGUAACUGGCCUUUAUUUGACGGUAAUCAACCAGAAAGUCACGGCUAACUACGUGCCAGCAGCCGCGGUAAUACGUAGGUGGCAAGCGUUGUCCGGAUUUAUUGGGCGUAAAGCGAGCGCAGGCGGAAGAAUAAGUCUGAUGUGAAAGCCCUCGGCUUAACCGAGGAACUGCAUCGGAAACUGUUUUUCUUGAGUGCAGAAGAGGAGAGUGGAACUCCAUGUGUAGCGGUGGAAUGCGUAGAUAUAUGGAAGAACACCAGUGGCGAAGGCGGCUCUCUGGUCUGCAACUGACGCUGAGGCUCGAAAGCAUGGGUAGCGAACAGGAUUAGAUACCCUGGUAGUCCAUGCCGUAAACGAUGAGUGCUAAGUGUUGGGAGGUUUCCGCCUCUCAGUGCUGCAGCUAACGCAUUAAGCACUCCGCCUGGGGAGUACGACCGCAAGGUUGAAACUCAAAGGAAUUGUCGGGGGCCCGCACAAGCGGUGGAGCAUGUGGUUUAAUUCGAAGCAACGCGAAGAACCUUACCAGGUCUUGACAUCUAGUGUCAUUUGUAGAGAUACAAAGUUCCCUUCGGGGACGCUAAGACAGGUGGUGCAUGGCUGUCGUCAGCUCGUGUCGUGAGAUGUUGGGUUAAGUCCCGCAACGAGCGCAACCCUUGUUAUUAGUUGCCAGCAUUAAGUUGGGCACUCUAAUGAGACUGCCGGUGACAAACCGGAGGAAGGUGGGGAUGACGUCAAGUCAUCAUGCCCCUUAUGACCUGGGCUACACACGUGCUACAAUGGGCAGUACAACGAGAAGCGAGCCUGCGAAGGCAAGCGAAUCUCUGAAAGCUGUUCUCAGUUCGGACUGCAGUCUGCAACUCGACUGCACGAAGCUGGAAUCGCUAGUAAUCGCGGAUCAGCACGCCGCGGUGAAUACGUUCCCGGGCCUUGUACACACCGCCCGUCACACCAUGGGAGUCUGCAAUGCCCAAAGCCGGUGGCCUAACCUUCGGGAAGGAGCCGUCUAAGGCAGGGCAGAUGACUGGGGUGAAA